GACGAACGCUGGCGGCGUGCCUAAUACAUGCAAGUAGAACGCUGGAGGAGGAGCUUGCUUCUCUGGAUGAGUUGCGAACGGGUGAGUAACGCGUAGGUAACCUGCCUGGUAGCGGGGGAUAACUAUUGGAAACGAUAGCUAAUACCGCAUAAUAGUAGAUGUCGCAUGACAUUUGCUUAAAAGGUGCAAUUGCAUCACUACCAGAUGGACCUGCGUUGUAUUAGCUAGUUGGUGAGGUAACGGCUCACCAAGGCAACGAUACAUAGCCGACCUGAGAGGGGGAUCGGCCACACUGGGACUGAGACACGGCCCAGACUCCUACGGGAGGCAGCAGUAGGGAAUCUUCGGCAAUGGACGGAAGUCUGACCGAGCAACGCCGCGUGAGUGAAGAAGGGUUUCGGAUCGUAAAGCUCUGUUGUAAGAGAAGAACGAGUGUGAGAGUGGAAAGUUCACACUGUGACGGUAUCUUACCAGAAAGGGACGGCUAACUACGUG
rnacentral:rRNA from 1 species